AAAUAAGAUUAAGACCUAAUUAUGUGUCUAACAUAUCAAAAGCCAUUCAUCAUAUUCAUUCUUAUUGGUAGAAAAGAAAAAGAUAAUGUUUUUACAAGUCCUUCAGAUUUAUUAUUAUAGAGGGUUUAGUUUUCAAAGUAGGUACUUUACUUACAUGCCUACACUUUUAAUAGUAUUCAAAUGCAUUUAACCACGAAGGUUGUUAAUAAAAAAAAAAUAAUAAUAAUUUAAUUCUUGAACUUUCAUAACAUUCAUGAUAAAAAUAAUGUACACUCACCUUAUUUUUUAGCGCUAUUGAAGUUAUUCUCAUGGUUUAUUUUAUUGACUUUUUGCAUAGGUUAUUAGAAUUUUGUCACCAAAUUAUUUACUGUGCUAUGAUGGUACUUUAACCAGUUGAAAGAAUAAUGUCAGGCACAUUAAAAAAAAAAAAAAAUAAUAAUAAUAAUAGAAGGAAUGUUGAGACUUUUAGUUAGUAUGUGUCUACCAAUACAGCCUUUGUGGUGACUAGUUACUAACCUAUAUAGUACAAGUAUCAGGAUACCUAGGCUAAGUAUAUCUUUAAGUACAGGCUAAUCUCGAGAACUUUCGAAUAAAUUUGUGCGUGGCACUUGUCAUAGUCUUCACGUCUGCUAGAAAGUUACCACCAGUAAAAUAGAAACAAAAUGUGCCUAGGGGAAGCCAGGUAGAGUGGCUAGUAGUUUAUAAUAAAUGACGCGAAGUAAGAGUGUCUUGUAACUAAUCAAAAUGUUGUUUUAACUUGAAUGUUCUGGAUUAUUCACAAUCAUAGUGACGUAAACCUAAUUAAAAGAAUCUCAGCUUCUUAUAUUUACAGUUAAGUAACAUCAACAUGUAUGAUGUGGUUACUGCCGGUAGAUACUUCAAUUAAUGCGACUACUGUUAGUUUAUUAUUCGUAAUAACGUACCUAGCGUUAUCCCGAUACUAUUGAGUUAGUGUAAUUCCAUGAUCUCUGUCUACCCCAAUGUGGCUCUACGGAUUCUACAUUAUAAAGCAAUCUAAUCUCUUUGAUUAAACGCCUGUUGCGUAUCUUAUGAUUAUCGUAUUUUGCUACUUCUUCUUAUAUCGUGUGGGUUGUGAGGUGAAUUACCAACCUCAUCAACCCUGGUGUUAGGGUUAUUAUUGGGCCGUCAAGGGCCCCUGACAUGACUCAUGUAACAACUGCUUACUUAAAUUGGUAAUCAGUAACUGGGACCAACGGUUUAUUUUGUUUUCCGACAAUUGGGUGGUUAGCCUGUGGCGUCCUAACUAAACUAAGGAUCACAAAGUGGGUUUUGUGAUGUAUCCCCACAGGGAUUCGAACCCGGGACCAACCUCAACCUCUGGAUCAUGAAGGCCGAUUUCUGCUUAUUAUCAAUGUUAUCUAUUUUGCUAGUACUUAAAAACACUAAUAUACCUAUCUUAAACGUUGUAUGUAAUACUGUCCACUGCAAGAUAGUUAUGAGGCGGUAUACCAAAAAUUUAAGACUUAUAAAUACAAUAUGUUAUCUAGCCGUCAGACCAAUAAUUCUUAUGUGAUCGAAAGGUUUGAUGUUAUAAAUUGCGGUUAAAUACCUAAGGAAUAUUAUCCAAAUAAGCACUUAAGUUUGAGGGCAUUUUAGUGAUUCAAAAACGAACUCGUAAUGAUUAUAAAAAAAAGAGCUAUUAGAAUGUAUGGUAAACCUGGAAUGCAACAAUAUAUAUGGAUACAAUACAAUUACUCGUUAUUGAACCAAAACAAGACUUAUCAUCAAUACGCGGCAAUUGGCGACCUUAUCGAUGUAAUAAUAAUAAUAAUUUCUUAUAUGUGUAUAAAUCGUAAAUGAUGAUAUUAGUCGAUUAAGUUUAACGUAAUACCUAUCACAUAAUAAUUACUCGAAUAUGCGACAGAAGAAUAUGUGUAGGUACCUAGUAUUAUAUUUAUUUGUAUGUUUCAUAAACAUAACUAGCGAAAAGUGGGUAUUUGCAUACUAUACACCUCUGCUCACCCUUUCGGGGAUAUAAGCGAGAUGCUCUGUUAUGUGCUUUAUUCAUUGUAACUUUAAUUUUUAAAUCAGUUAGUUAAAAGGUUAAUUGGGCAUUACAUUAUUUAUCAGGGAUUCCCAAUAUUUGUAUUAUUACAGUUAUUACAACCAUACUUAUUAGGAUACAAUUAUUUACACUUGUUUUAUCCAAUUACAAUGACAGCUACUUAUCGACCACUACUUUCGGACGGCGAUAUAAUUCACCACUUAACAUUAUUAAUUAGACCAGAGCUUUGUUCGAAUAAGGCUCGGUUAGACGUGUGUACUUGGUUCAUCAUACGACGGCUCCCAACUAAUUGGGAAUAUAAUCUUAAUUCAGUUCUCUUUUAUUUUAGUUGUAUAGCGAAAUAUAGACAAACCUAAUAAUAUGCUUACGACAGCGAUUAUUCGAGUAGGUUCCGUGAAACCUACAGGUUUCACAGAAAAGCCAAAAGGGGUACCCAUAAUUAUUUGUUUUGGCUGCCAUUAAAUACUAUAGUUCAGUAUUGGAUGCCACACCAGAUAUAUAUGUCAUGUCCAUAUGCAAGUGUCAGAAAAAGGUGUGAAAAUGGAACAAGUUCAGUAUCUCUAGGUAUUCACAUUUAAAGUUGAAUAACAUGUUUCUUUUAAUUAAAAGGUGCUCCUAAUUAAAUUAUAGUGUUAGUGUAUUAUAGUAUUCUGUAGUUCUUUUUUAAAUCCAAGUUAUUAGUUUUGUAAUCAUUUAAUGUGGGGUUCCGUUAAAAGGGAAAGUUGUUCCGAACUCUACAAGAUGUUGAAAAUAAACACAAGUAAGAAAGAAUACUUACAGUCAUCUUAGCAAUUACAAAAACAUAAAAGAAGUACAUUAUGUAAUUAAUACUUGUUAUUUAUUUGAUGAUAAUACUUAUCAAUUUAAUUAUCCAAUAUUUUGUUUCGGAAGAGGCAAAAAUUUAUUUAUUAAAAAUUAUUAAAGCAUACUUUAUAGUAUACCUACUCAAGUAUACUCUUACUAAUUACAUGGGAACCGAUUACGGUUUAUACUAAUUUAUAAUAGAUAUACUUAAUACCCUGACUCUAUUCAGUAAAGAACCUGCAAAUAUAGAAAUCGUUAGCAGAUAAUUUUACAAACUGACCAAUUUUAAGGGUCAACAGAUAAUUUUACAGACUGACCAAUUUUAAGGGUCAAUAGAUAAUUUGACAGACUGACCAAAUUCAAGGGUCGACAGAUAAUUUGACAGACUAAUCAAUUUCAAGGGCCAACAGAUAAUUUUACAGACUGACCAAUUUUAAGAGUCAACAGAUAAUUUGUCAGACUGACCAAUUUUAAGGGUCAACAGAUAAUUUGACAGACUGACCAAUGUCAAGGGUCGACAGAUAAUUUGACAGACUGGCCAAUUUCAAGGGUCAACAGGUAAUUUCACCAACUGACCAAUUUCAAGGGUCAACAAAUAAUUUUACAGACUGACCAAUUUUAAGGGUCAACAAGUACCAAUGCAAUGCCAUGAUUUAACUGACAAAUUGCCGAGUAAGACAGAACUGGUCUAUACAAUGAGACAAUAAAUAUAAUAAGUGGUAGCAGUAUAAAUUAUAAACUGUUUAUUAUUAGAAUCAGAAUAGUCACCAGCGACUAUCCUUCGGUACUUGUCAAUUUCAAGGACAGGUAUAGAAUCAGAAUAUUCACCAGCGAUUAUCCUUCGGUACUUGUCAAUUUCAAGGACAAGUAUAGGAUUACAGUGAUCACCAAGGAUCAUACUUAGGUACUUGUCAAUUUCAAGGACGAUUAUCAGGAACUGACUAAUUUCAAGGGUCAGUAAUAAGCUCAGGGUGAUCACCAGCGAUCAUCCUUAGGUACUUGUCAAUUUCAAGGACGAGUAUUAGGAACUGACUAAUUUCAAGGGUCAGUAAUAAGCUCAGGGUGAUCACCAGCGAUCAUCCUUAGGCACUUGUCAAUUUCAAGGACGAGUAUUAGGAACUGACUAAUUUCAAGGGUCUGUAAUAGGCUCAGAGUGAUCAUCAGCAAUCAUCCUUAGAUACAUAUCAAUAACAAGUACCUAGGAAUAUGUGUUAGGAACUAACCAAUUUCAGGAGUUAGUGCGACUUACGGUCAUUUAACUUUAAUAAAAACUUUAUUGAUCUAAAAUGUGUCUUAUCGUGCAUUUACUUAGACUUACAGUUGAUACAGUCAAAUAUACCUACGGUAUUUUAUAUGUAAAUAAAGUAAAGCUUGUGAAGUUUGUGUGAAGGUUAAUCUAAGAGAUAUUUAUUUUCAAAUUAGAAAGUUACAUGUCAAUUUCAAGUAAGGACAUGUAUUAUAAACUAACCAAUUUCAAGGGUUAGUAAGGCUUUAAGUUUAUUUAACAUUAAGCAAAUCUCUAUUUAUGCAAAAUGUGCUUUAGCAUGUAUUUAUUCAGACAUACAGUUGAUACCGACAGAUAUAUCUAUAGUAGUGUUAUUAGAACAAGUUUGUUCGAAGUUUAAGCUUAAAGUUAUCUUUUUUUUUUAAAUCAGUAAGUUUAUAUUAUUUACAGUACUUUAAUAGUGAUAAAGAUUGUCAAGUAACUUCAAAGAGUAUCGCUAGAAAUAAGCAUAUAAAUUCUGUCAUUAUACUUAAAAUUCCUACUGUAUUUUAAUUUGCGUAACGAGUGUAGCAUUAUAUAAAAAGAAAAGAAAUGUACUUCUUAUUUUAUUGUUAGUAGCUCUAAUGAACAACGAAGGGACUCGUUGAUAUAUCGGAUGGCCGAGUUGUUAUGAUCUUCAUGAUAUGGGCUAUAAACUGUUACAAAUAACACUAGUAUUACAGUUGUGUUGGUAUACAUUAAUAGUUAUCUUUAUGUUUGUUUCAAUUAUUCCUGCAUUAAUAUAAUAAUUGAAUGUACAAAUACCUAGUUAUAAAUAUAUUGUUAUACUUAUUGUAAAUUAUUUUAACUUCAAUUACUCGUAUUAGUAACUCGCUCUGUAAACGUAUCCUCUCGUUUGACGUGAGAUGU